UAAAAUAUAUUAUUAAAAAAUAAAAUUGGUAUGCAUAAUGUAUAAUGUUCAGGUGUAGGUGUCAAAAAUAGUGUAUGGAUAUCUUUUCCCAUAACAAAAUUAGAUACAAACAGGAAUUAAAGAGCACGAUUUCACUUCUUCUCUAACACAUUUUCCCCCCUUCCAUGGCCGUUUUAUCCCACCAUCAAAAUUCAACCGAAAACGCAAAUUGAAAGUAUAGUUUUGUUUAGAUUUUCCUUCUCAAAUCAACUUCCCAGCCCGAAUUCUCAGAGACAACACCAAUAUCCGAAAAUAUACAAAUUCAAACAUGAACCCUAAUUCUUAUGAAUAAAAAUUGAAUGGUAACGGUUCAUCAGAUCAAGCAAUUAGCAUAAGGUUUUUAUUCAGCACAUCAUAAGCAAAACAUCAGUGUUAAAAAAAAAAGGAAAGAACCAACCUCGCCGAAGCAAUGUCCAGCGGCCCUCUUUCCAACGAUGGCGAUCAAUUUAGAUGAAGGUGUGUUGAUGUGCGGCUUCGAUCUCAGAGGUAUGGCUCCGUGCGGCUGGGUGGUGGAGUUGAGUGGUUGUGAGGCUGUCUCACGGUGAAACUGUUCGCGGUGGAUCGGUUGGUCUGAGCCUCAAUCGGAAACAGCACCCGGAUGGUUGCCGUGUCGGUGUUGGUGUUGUCUGAUGCGGUGACCCAGCGACUUUGAUUUGAUUCCACCAUCUGUAUUCUCUUGCUUUCCUUUCCCGAAUCUGAAAUUGAAAUAAACAAAGAAUUGCUGUGAUGUGAAAAGAUUGAAUUAUCUUGCUAACUAGUAGAUGACCCGUGCGUCCGCACGGGUAUUGACCAUUCUUAAGGUGAACAAUGAAUCACUAUAGAAAAAUUUAAUUUUCUAAUUGAUGAAUGAUUUCAUAUAGUGAUAACACAUAACUCAGCACAUAGUAAGUAAUAACAACUAAUAGGAACUAAAUCAAAUUUUAUUGAUAGUAAUAAACUAUUAUUGUGGUGAUAGUGUAUCGUUUGAAAAAUUAUAUCAUGUUUCUCUUAA